GGUAGCUCAGUCUGUAAAGCAUGAGGCUCUUAAUUUCAAGGUUGUUGGUUCGAGCCCCACGUUAGGCA